AGAGUUUGAUCCUGGCUCAGGACGAACGCUGGCGGCGUGCCUAAUACAUGCAAGUCGAACGAAGCUUUCUUUCACCGAAUGCUUGCAUUCACCGAAAGAAGCUUAGUGGCGAACGGGUGAGUAACACGUAGGCAACCUGCCCAAAAGAGGGGGAUAACACUUGGAAACAGGUGCUAAUACCGCAUAACCAUGAACACCGCAUGAUGUUCGUGUAAAAGACGGCUUUUGCUGUCACUUUUGGAUGGGCCUGCGGCGUAUUAACUUGUUGGUGGGGUAACGGCCUACCAAGGUGAUGAUACGUAGCCGAACUGAGAGGUUGAUCGGCCACAUUGGGACUGAGACACGGCCCAAACUCCUACGGGAGGCAGCAGUAGGGAAUCUUCCACAAUGGACGAAAGUCUGAUGGAGCAACGCCGCGUGAAUGAAGAAGGCCUUCGGGUCGUAAAAUUCUGUUGUCAGAGAAGAAUGUGCGUGAGAGUAACUGUUCACGUAUUGACGGUAUCUGACCAGAAAGCCACGGCUAACUACGUGCCAGCAGCCGCGGUAAUACGUAGGUGGCAAGCGUUGUCCGGAUUUAUUGGGCGUAAAGGGAACGCAGGCGGUCUUUUAAGUCUGAUGUGAAAGCCUUCGGCUUAACCGAAGUAGUGCAUUGGAAACUGGAAGACUUGAGUGCAGAAGAGGAGAGUGGAACUCCAUGUGUAGCGGUGAAAUGCGUAGAUAUAUGGAAGAACACCAGUGGCGAAAGCGGCUCUCUGGUCUGUAACUGACGCUGAGGUUCGAAAGCGUGGGUAGCAAACAGGAUUAGAUACCCUGGUAGUCCACGCCGUAAACGAUGAGUGCUAAGUGUUGGAGGGUUUCCGCCCUUCAGUGCUGCAGCUAACGCAUUGAGCACUCCGCCUGGGGAGUACGGUCGCAAGACUGAAACUCAAAGGAAUUGACGGGGGCCCGCACAAGCGGUGGAGCAUGUGGUUUAAUUCGAAGCAACGCGAAGAACCUUACCAGGUCUUGACAUCUUCUGACAAUUCCAGAGAUGGAACGUUCCCUUCGGGGACAGAAUGACAGGUGGUGCAUGGUUGUCGUCAGCUCGUGUCGUGAGAUGUUGGGUUAAGUCCCGCAACGAGCGCAACCCUUAUUGUCAGUUGCCAUCAUUAAGUUGGGCACUCUGGCGAGACUGCCGGUGACAAACCGGAGGAAGGUGGGGAUGACGUCAAAUCAUCAUGCCCCUUAUGACCUGGGCUACACACGUGCUACAAUGGACGGUACAACGAGUCGCUAACUCGCGAGGGCAAGCUAAUCUCUUAAAGCCGUUCUCAGUUCGGAUCGCAGGCUGCAACUCGCCUGCAUGAAGUCGGAAUCGCUAGUAAUCGCGAAUCAGCAUGUCGCGGUGAAUACGUUCCCGGGCCUUGUACACACCGCCCGUCACACCAUGAGAGUUUGUAACACCCAAAGUCGGUGGGGUAACCUUUUGGAGCCAGCCGCCUAAGGUGGGACAGAUGAUUGGGGUGAAGUCGAAACAAGGUA
rnacentral:rRNA from 1 species